CAAUAAACCAUUUGUGUAUACAUUCUACUGGAAAAUAAAGUCAAAAUCCACCAACCUUGAGAAUAAUGAGCUCGAAUUAAAGUAUAAGUAAAAGAGACAAAGCAGCUUAGCAGAUUGAGUACGAAUCAUUCAGCGGGUUUGGCAAAUCAUGAAUGUCCGUUAUAAAUUUUAACGUAGAUAACUUAAGGAGGUUAAAUGUGUGACAAUUAAAAGAAUAGAAAACCAUGAAAAAAUCAUAAGUCAAUAACGAAUGUUACUGAGAAGUUGGUCGGGCCUUUUGAAGCAAAUGCAGCAAGUAUUGAGUAACCGCUCGAUAGUGUUGCUCCAUCAUGUCCGAAGUUUCAGUAUGUUCACUUUGCAUAAGUCGUCCAUAUCUUCUUUUAGCACGCUUUGCCUUUUUCCAGCACUCAUUACUAGAACUCACAAACACGAGUGAAUGACGAUAAUACCACGUUGGAAGAUCUUCCUCUGAUGCCGUUUUAAGACCCACCAAAGGUUCAGUGCCAAGGAAAUUCACCAUACACUUAACUCUGUCUGACACAUUCCUGGAAGAUGCCAAAUUAACCAAUCCAUGUACCGCUUUGCCUCCACCGAUGAAAAAAAUAUUUUUUGAAAUCGACAACUCAACAUAAUUAUCCCAUACAUAAAGACAAAGUUCUUUCACUUCAGAAAGAAUGUCAACCGGUGCAUUUUCACCGUCCGUAACCACUUCAGGUAUAUUUAUGUCGAUAAGCCCCCAGUCCUGUUGCAUAGCCCAUUCAACAUAAAGGCUCACGGGAUCUACUAAAAGCGAAUCAUUUAAAUUCAAAACGUUCGUUUCACUAGUUCCAUUACCCAGGACUCUAGGAGAUUCAUGGACAAUAACGAGAAGGUUAUCUUUUUGAAAGAAAUUGCUAGAGCACAGUACUUGAUUGUUGAAUACAUUGGAAACGGAAUCCCUUAGUAUUGGCAUAUUGGUAAUUUUCCAGUCUUCGAAAAGUUUUUUAGCUUGAUAAGUUCGAAUAACAUCAUGUAAUCGAUCUACAUGGGCAUCCUUAGGAUUUGCGUCGAAGUGUUUCGGCCUCAUACAUCUCCAGUAUUGGGAUUGUAUUUUGGUUACAUGGUUGAUGGUAGCAACGGCCUGUGGACAUGCAUAUGUUGUAUGCAAUCGUCCAGGAGGAAUUCCCAACAAACUUUGGGCUACAGCUAAGGCUGAUGUGCUUAUAGAAUCCAAAUUAUAACCUCCCUCAAGGGAGAUAAAAACUUUCCCAUCUGCUAAUCCCAUUAACAUUUGUGUCAUAUGAGCAUAGGCAGCUGGAGUUAACAAGAAUUGACCAAUGUGAUCUCCUGCAGCAGCAUCAAAGCCGCAACUUACAAUAACUAAAUCUGGAUCAAAUUCAUAAGCAACAGGCAUUACGACGCGCUGAAAAGCGUAUAUAUAAUCACCAUCUCCCAUGCCAGCACAACUCCAAGGAAUAUUUACAGUUCUACCCAAUCCCGGGCCCUCUCCACAAUUUUCUGCACACCCAUAAUUGGUGCCAGGAUAGAAACGACCAUUUUCAUAUCGAUGCAAAGAAACGUAUAGAACAUUUGGAUCGUCAUAAAAAGCCAUUUGCGUACCAUUUCCAUGGUGUAUAUCCCAGUCGACAAUCAAUACUCUUUUUAUUUUAUCCGGAAAGCGUUGUAGCAUACUCCUUGCGGUUACAGAAACAUUGUUGAAUAAACAAAAGCCACCAGGUUUAUGGGGUUCUGCAUGAUGGCCAGGAGGGCGAACAACUGCGAAGGCAUUUUUUACUUGACCAGUUACGACAGCCGUACAUGUUUCAAUUGCGCUACCACAAGCCAAUCGAGCACAAAACGCACUUUCGUUAUUAUAGUAUAGAGAAUCACUGAUUUUUUCGAGAUUGGCCAAAUCCUCAUGAGACAUUUUUUCGGUAUUAGUAACCCUAUCAUACAUUUCCUGUGAAUGAACUUGUAAUAACUCUUCUAAAGUAGCUUCUCUAGCCGGAAUCCGUAAAAAUACAUCUGACGGACUCGGCACAUUAGAUACAUAACCGGCCUUCUUUAUAGCUUCAAAAACACGAAGGACGCGUCUUGGAUCUUCAGGAUGGUCAUCCACUUCACUUAGAGUGGCAUGGAAUCUCAUUCGAGGAUCAUAGCAUAAUCCAGAUUUUUUCAAGAUUUGCGACAUUUCAUGGGAUUCGUUAUUUAAUGUAUUUUCACUUCCAGACAUUGGUUUAUUGUUUGUCAAAAGAAUAGACCAUGGAGUUACCGUGUUUACAGCAUCAUCGGAUGGUUUUACAGAAGUAGAUGCACCAUCAGAAUUAGAGGCCAGCAUUCGUUUUCUAUCGCCCUUAAAAAGGUCAAUCAAUUAAUAAAUUAAUAAAAAAAUCUCCUAUUAAACAACUCCCUCAUAAAACUGUCGAAACACUUUUUGAAGCGCGGCUCACUCGAUAUAGGUAGUUUUGGUCGUCAAAACUGUUGCUGGUACUUCUAAGACAUAAGUAUAGAGGAGCAAUGAGAGAAUAUAAUCUCAACCAUGC